GAUGAACGCUGGCGGCGUGCUUAACACAUGCAAGUCGAACGGAGUGGCGAACGGGUGAGUAACACGUGGGUGAUCUGCCCUGUACUUCGGGAUAAGCUUGGGAAACUGGGUCUAAUACCGGAUAGUAUGGGAUGAGCUCGCGGCCUAUCAGCUUGUUGGUGGGGUAAUGGCCUACCAAGGCGUCGACGGGUAGCCGGCCUGAGAGGGUGUACGGCCACAUUGGGACUGAGAUACGGCCCAGACUCCUACGGGAGGCAGCAGUGGGGAAUAUUGCACAAUGGGCGCAAGCCUGAUGCAGCGACGCCGCGUGGGGGAUGAAGGCCUUCGGGUUGUAAACUCCUUUCGCUAGGGACGCGGUACCUGGAGAAGAAGCACCGGCUAACUACGUGCCAGCAGCCGCGGUAAUUC
rnacentral:rRNA from 1 species